UGGGGAAUAUUGCGCAAUGGGCGAAAGCCUGACGCAGCGACGCCGCGUGAGGGAUGAAGGUUUUCGGAUCGUAAACCUCUGUCAGAAGGGAAGAAACCGCACUGUGCUAAUCAGCAGUGCCUUGACGGUACCUUCAAAGGAAGCACCGGCUAACUCCGUGCCAGCAGCCGCGGUAAUACGGAGGGUGCAAGCGUUAAUCGGAAUUACUGGGCGUAAAGCGCACGUAGGCUGCUUUGUAAGUCAGGGGUGAAAUCCCACGGCUCAACCGUGGAACUGCCUUUGAUACUGCUUAGCUUGAAUCCGGGAGAGGGUGGCGGAAUUCCAGGUGUAGGAGUGAAAUCCGUAGAUAUCUGGAGGAACAUCAGUGGCGAAGGCGGCCACCUGGACAGGUAUUGACGCUGAGGUGCGAAAGCGUGGGGAGCAAACAGG
rnacentral:rRNA from 1 species